GCGUCUCAUUCCGCGAAAUUAACAAACGACACGCCGCCUCGCCUCACAUCGCGCUCGCCAUCACUGUGCCUGUGCGCGUUCGCGCACGGUGUCAGCCACCACCGCGAUGCCGGGAGCGGCGGCGGGGGAUGAGGCGGCGGCGGCGGCGGGAGGGAGGCGGCCGACGGCGUCGGAGCGGCGGCGCAUGUACCGCGACCUGGCGCAGUCGCUGCGGUGCGGCCUCCGCGACGCGUCCGCGGGGUUCUCCUUCCUCCGCCUCCGCGGCCUCCGCGCGCUCCUCCGCGCCCUCCGCUCCGCCGCCGCCGCCGACGCCGACGCCCGCCUCUUCCGCCACUCCCAGGCCCUCCGCGACCUCCAAGUGGUGCCGGUGCUGUUCGAGCACAGCCUCCGGAGGGCGCAGGGCGACGCGGUGGUGACGGUGGGGCAGGUGCUCGGCAUCUCGCCCGCCGUCAAGCUCAGCAACCCCGCCACCGACUCCGAGGUGGCGCUCGCGCUCCGGGUGCUCGAGGGUUGCUGCCUCCUCUGCCGGGACUGCGCCGCCGCCGCGCAUCGCUACGACGCCGUCAAGGUACUUCUGAACAUUCUGAUGACUCGGGGCACGCUUGAACAAAAAGCUUGUCUGGACACCCUUUUGGCGUUGAUGGUGGAUUCUUCAGAAAAUUUGAUGGAUUUCAAGGAACAUGAAGGACUAGAUAAAAUUGGUGAUCUUGUUAAGGACACACAAAGAGAUGACAAUGUAAGGCUAAAAUGUGCAGAAUUUUUGCUUCUGUUCUCUAGAAGUGCAAGUGAAAAGGGUGAUGCUACCUUCGUUUCAUGUAUGCAAGAGGAUCUUAAGAAUAUUGUAGGGGAGAAUUGUGCAUCUUUUAUCUGCUCAAAGAUUUUUUUCAGCUCAACACUAGAUUCAGAGGUGACAGAACCUGAACUAAACAUUCAUGCGAAGCAUGUAUUGGAUCUCUUAGACGGCCGUCAAUAUGCUACUGUGCCUCAACAGGGUGUGGUCUCACCUUAACACUGGGGAUUCAUUUGCGUCAGAAACCCAUCGUAUAUAACUAAUUAAUAGCAAAAUGCAUCAAAUUAUUACUUGCUCUAUAACGGACCACUUAUUUAUUUCAUUUUGAUAGAUGUUCAUGCGACCUAUAUGUACUAAAGUACAUCGAGCGGUUUAAUGGGUCAGGACUUGCAAAAAAAUCACUCAGCACAACAUCAAUGUUUUCAAGCGACAAUUAUUGAGAUAGUUGUUGUUGUCUGAUAACAACAUGGUUGAAGAUAUGAAAAAGGAACUAAACAAGAUUGUCGAUUCGCUCUAGAUUUUAUAUAGUACAACAAUAAAUCUUAUUUAUUUAUUUAUUCAAGGGAUACAAGUUAUUUAUUUAUUUAAGGAAGUGAUCAUAUUUACUUGUAAUAACACAUUUGAGAUUUUCACAUUUAUAAUUUAUGGAUUUUGGUUAGGCCA